GAUGAACGCUGGCGGCGUGCCUAAUACAUGCAAGUAGAACGCUGAAGCUUGGUGCUUGCACCGAGCGGAUGAGUUGCGAACGGGUGAGUAACGCGUAGGUAACCUGCCUCUUAGCGGGGGAUAACUAUUGGAAACGAUAGCUAAUACCGCAUAAAAGUCGAUAUCGCAUGAUAUUGAUUUGAAAGGUGCAAAUGCAUCACUAAGAGAUGGACCUGCGUUGUAUUAGCUAGUUGGUGAGGUAACGGCUCACCAAGGCGACGAUACAUAGCCGACCUGAGAGGGUGAUCGGCCACACUGGGACUGAGACACGGCCCAGACUCCUACGGGAGGCAGCAGUAGGGAAUCUUCGGCAAUGGGGGCAACCCUGACCGAGCAACGCCGCGUGAGUGAAGAAGGUUUUCGGAUCGUAAAGCUCUGUUGUAAGAGAAGAACGAGUGUGAGAGUGGAAAGUUCACACUGUGACGGUAACUUACCAGAAAGGACGGCUAA
rnacentral:rRNA from 1 species